CACAAGUUGUGAACAGAUUUGGAACAACUUGUUGACAACUUGUAACAACCUUGUCAAAAUUAUCAGACCUGUUGCAAGGUUGUUCUGACAAGUCCGUUACAUGCUUGAUAUAACAAGAUUGUUACAACCUUGUGUUGAAAACCUUGUAACAUCCUUGUUAUAUCAUGGCUGUAACAAACUUAUUAGCACAGUCUUGUAACAAGGCUGAUAAUGCCAUCAAGCUUGUUACAAGUUGUUAACAGCUUGUUUCAAACUUGUUACAACAAAUG